rnacentral:rRNA from 1 species
CCUACGGGAGACUGCAGUGAGGAAUAUUGGUCAAUGGGCGGGAGCCUGAACCAGCCAAGCCGCGUGAGGGAAGAAGGUACAGCGUAUCGUAAACCUCUUUUGUCAGGGGACAAACGCGGGUACGAGUCUUCGGAUGAGGGUACCUUAAGAAAAAGCAUCGGCUAACUCCGUGCCAGCAGCCGCGGUAAUACGGAGGAUGCAAGCGUUAUCCGGAUUUAUUGGGUUUAAAGGGUGCGGAGGCGGCCUGUUAAGUUAGGGGUGAAAUGUCCGGGCUUAACCCGGGAAGAGCCGCUGAAACUGGUGAGCUGGAGAGGGAGAGAGGUAGGCGGAAUGCGCGGUGUAGCGGUGAAAUGCUUAGAUAUCGCACAGAACACCGAUUGCGAAGGCAGCGUACCGGCUCAAAACUGACGCUGAGGCACGAAAGCGUGGGUAUCGAACAGGAUUAGAUACCCUUGUAGUC